CAAAAACAGAGCCAGAGAGAAUGGAAAUGAUUACAAUUGGGUUUAAAUUCGCCCUUUCAUUUCAGCUGUGCCCCCGGCUGACGUCAGCGGAAUCCAUAUAGUUUUGUGGAAACCCACUCCGAAUCCCCGGCUGAAGUGAAAGGAAACUUCAUCAAAGAUUCAUCAAAGCCGAGUAUAUGUCAACUAUAAAGCAUCACCUAAUUAUAGGCACCUCUAUAUGUGCUCCUUGCGGCCGGAUUCCCCAACCCAACCUAUGCCAUGCCGUCGCUUCCCUUUUUCCGUUUCGCCUGCGCCGGCUUUUAUUGCCCAGGAGGGUCUAC